UUUAAUAUUUAUGGAAGGAGUCUCCAGUGUCAGCGCUUUGUAACAGUCAGAGGUAAAGCUGUAACUUUAAGUU